rnacentral:rRNA from 1 species
CUGUGAAGAUGCAGUGUACCCGCGGCAAGACGGAAAGACCCCGUGAACCUUUACUAUAGCUUGACACUGAACAUUGAGCCUUGAUGUGUAGGAUAGGUGGGAGGCUUUGAAGUGUGGACGCCAGUCUGCAUGGAGCCGGCCUUGAAAUACCACCCUUUAAUGUUUGAUGUUCUAACGUGGACCCGUGAUCCGGGUUGCGGACAGUGUCUGGUGGGUAGUUUGACUGGGGCGGUCUCCUCCUAAAGAGUAACGGAGGAGCACGAAGGUUGGCUAAUCCUGGUCGGACAUCAGGAGGUUAGUGCAAUGGCAUAAGCCAGCUUGACUGCGAGCGUGACGGCGCGAGCAGGUGCGAAAGCAGGUCAUAGUGAUCCGGUGGUUCUGAAUGGAAGGGCCAUCGCUCAACGGAUAAAAGGUACUCCGGGGAUAACAGGCUGAUACCGCCCAAGAGUUCAUAUCGACGGCGGUGUUUGGCACCUCGAUGUCGGCUCAUCACAUCCUGGGGCUGAAGUAGGUCCCAAGGGUAUGGCUGUUCGCCAUUUAAAGUGGUACGCGAGCUGGGUUUAGAACGUCGUGAGACAGUUCGGUCCCUAUCUGCCGUGGGCGCUGGAGAACUGAGGGGGGCUGCUCCUAGUACGAGAGGACCGGAGUGGACGCAUCACUGGUGUUCGGGUUGUCAUGCCAAUGGCACUGCCCGGUAGCUAAAUGCGGAAGAGAUAAGUGCUGAAAGCAUCUAAGCACGAAACUUGCCCCGA